rnacentral:lncRNA from 1 species
GCCUUGAACAAGCUACUUCCAUUUUCUGGCUCUUUAGUCUCCUCAUUUGUAAAAUGAGGGGGCUGGAGUAAGUAAGCUCUAUAAGGCUCUCAGCUGUGACAUCUAUGCAUAAUCACAGAAGAUCGAAGUGUACAGAACACCAUGGAAACUGAAGAGAGAUUCUGAAAGGAGGCUUUAAGAGGUCACUUGCAUCCAAUGCUGCAGAAGUGUCAGAGACUGAGGACUUAAAUGAAGCCACUGAUUAGCAAUUUAAAGAUCCUCUCCAAGGGUCUCACUGAGUGCAGCGGCACGAUCUUGGCUCACUGCAACCUCCGCCUCCCAGGUCCAAGCGAUUCUCCUGCCUCAGCCUCCUGAGUAGCUGGCAUUACAGAUGGAGUUUCAGCCUUGUUGCCCAGGCUGGAGUGCGAUGGCACCACCUCGGCUCACUGCAACCUCCACCUCCUGGGUUCAAGCGAUUCUCCUGCCCCAGCCUCCCAAGUAGCUGGGACUACAGGCUAAUGGAAUGCUAAGGCCAGAACUGUACCCUACCAACCUCAGAUGUGGAAACAGAGGUUCUUGAAGGACAAGACUUGCCUAAGGUCUCACUGUGAGUUGGCAGCAGAGCUGGGACUCAGGCCUUGUGCUUCCCAGACCUGUACUCUUUCUGCAGCACCAUGAUGCUUCUGAAUUACAC